GGGGGCGUAAUGGCUUCGACGUGGUAUGAAAGAUGUAGAGAGCAUGCCGAGCUUUUACUUUGUGCUCGUAAAAAAAAGAGUAAAACAAUAAGUGCAAACUUUAGCACAGGUGCGCAAGCACCGCUUGCUUUAGCUUAAGAGUUAAAGCGACUUGCUUGAUCCAUGUGCCUAUUGAUAGAUCAAGCUCGUAUUACCCCUAAUAGGACUGUCAAGCGAGAUUUACUUGGUGAGUAGCUUGAAUGAACACUAACUAGGCGUAUAAAGAGAACGUGUCUUUGAGGACCUUUAUAUGUAUCAAUAAAGACUAAGCAUGUAGCGCUGUAUGUUGAUUGUAGUGCGGACAUGGGUUCGACUCCCAUCGCCUCCACCA
rnacentral:tmRNA from 1 species